rnacentral:rRNA from 1 species
ACAAGUAGCGGAGCAUGUGGUUUAAUUCGAAGCAACGCGAAGAACCUUACCUAAGCUUGACAUCCCAAUGACAUCUCCUUAAUCGGAGAGUUCCCUUCGGGGACAUUGGUGACAGGUGGUGCAUGGUUGUCGUCAGCUCGUGUCGUGAGAUGUUGGGUUAAGUCCCGCAACGAGCGCAACCCUUGUCUUUAGUUGCCAUCAUUAAGUUGGGCACUCUAGAGAGACUGCCAGGGAUAACCUGGAGGAAGGUGGGGAUGACGUCAAAUCAUCAUGCCCCUUAUGCUUAGGGCUACACACGUGCUACAAUGGGUAGUACAGAGGGUUGCCAAGCCGUAAGGUGGAGCUAAUCCCUUAAAGCUACUCUCAGUUCGGAUUGUAGGCUGAAACUCGCCUACAUGAAGCUGGAGUUACUAGUAAUCGCAGAUCAGAAUGCUGCGGUGAAUGCGUUCCCGGGUCUUGUACACACCGCCCGUCACACCACGGGAGUUGGAGACGC